rnacentral:rRNA from 1 species
UACAGAGGUCCCAAGCGUUGUUCGGAUUCACUGGGCGUAAAGGGUCCGUAGGCGGAUCUGUAAGUCAGUGGUGAAAUCUCACAGCUUAACUGUGAAACUGCCAUUGAUACUGCAGGUCUUGAGUGUUAUUGAAGUAGCUGGAAUAAGUAGUGUAGCGGUGAAAUGCAUAGAUAUUACUUAGAACACCAAUUGCGAAGGCAGGUUACUAAGCAACAACUGACGCUGAUGGACGAAAGCGUGGGGAGCGAACAGG